rnacentral:rRNA from 1 species
UACGUAGGGUGCAAGCGUUAAUCGGAAUUACUGGGCGUAAAGCGUGCGCAGGCGGUUCUAUAAGACAGAUGUGAAAUCCCCGGGCUCAACCUGGGAACUGCAUUUGUGACUGUAGAGCUGGAGUGCGGCAGAAGGGGAUGGAAUUCCGCGUGUAGCAGUGAAAUGCGUAGAUAUGCGGAGGAACACCGAUGGCGAAGGCAAUCCCCUGGGCCUGCACUGACGCUCCAUGCACGAAAGCGUGGGGAGCAAACAGG